AUUUAAAUAGUUUAAUUAAAAAUUUAAUAUUGAAGAUAUUAAGAUUACUUUUAGUAUUUAAAUA
rnacentral:tRNA from 1 species